CUUGUUAUAUCAUGAUUGUAUCGACUUGUUAGAGCAACCUUGUAACAAGUUUGAUAAUGCCAUCAAGCUUGUUACAAGUCGUUAACAGCUUGUUUCAAACUUGUUACAACAACCGGGAACAAGCAAUGUGGAGACAACUUGUGAACAGAUUUGCAACAACUUGUUUGCAGACUUGUAACAACUUGUGCGUUUUUACGUGUGUACGAGCCGAACGGCUCUUGGACGUGAUUAGCAUACGUGUAGAAUGAGCCUGCGGCUGGCAAUUGAGCUAACGUCUAUGUGAUAGGCUACGAAACAAUAUUGGUGUUCGCACUGGAGCUAAGCUCAAAUAAAUUCCUUUUAAAUUAUGCGACAAAAAUAUAUAUAAAAACACGAAUUUAAAAAUUUCAAUAUCAAUAAGGGGUGACCAAUGAGCUCCAUAUAAAUCUGGAGUCCAAUCUCGAGUCCAAAAGGUGAAGCCAGCUUCGUGUUAACCGCGCAGACAAAAACAAUAGAAAAGGACUGGACUUCCAAAUAGCUCUUUCAAUUUCCGCCAUCUUGGCAAGGUCUUAGCGUGACGCCCCUCAUGAAAAUCGUAGAUGAGUUAGCAUGGUUUUUAAAAGUUUUAAUCAUGUUCUGUACUCCCCUCUCCCUCAAAGGCGCCCCUGUUCAUGGAAAAUUUAAUGUACGAUGAAGUACAAGAUCAAUUCAGACCAACGAUGAAUUUCAUAAGGCGAACCAAAAAUAUGCAAUGAGGAAGGUGUCACUGGUGGUAGAAUAAAUGGAAAUAAAUUGCGUGAGCAACACAACGUGAAA